rnacentral:rRNA from 1 species
GCCUACGGGGGGCAGCAGUGAGGAAUAUUGGUCAAUGGUCGGGAGACUGAACCAGCCAAGCCGCGUGAGGGAUGAAGGUACAGAGUAUCGUAAACCUCUUUUGUCAGGGAACAAAGGCGGGGACGCGUCCCCGGAUGAGUGUACCUGAAGAAAAAGCAUCGGCUUACUCCGUGCCAGCAGCCGCGGUAAUACGGAGGAUGCGAGCGUUAUCCGGAUUUAUUGGGUUUAAAGGGUGCGCAGGCGGUCUGUUAAGUCAGCGGUCAAAGCCCGGGGCUCAACCCCGGGCCGCCGUUGAAACUGGCAGG